rnacentral:rRNA from 1 species
UACGUAGGGGGCAAGCGUUAUCCGGAUUUACUGGGUGUAAAGGGAGCGUAGACGGCGUGCCAAGUCUGAUGUGAAAGGCCGGGGCUCAACCCCGGGACUGCAUUGGAAACUGGCAUGCUAGAGUGCCGGAGGGGCAAGCGGAAUCCCUAGUGUAGCGGUGAAAUGCGUAGAUAUUAGGAGGAACACCAGUGGCGAAGGCGAUUUGCUGGGCCAUUACUGACGCUCAUGCACGAAAGCGUGGGGAGCAAAUAGG